CCUACGGGUGGCAGCAGUGGGGGAUAUUGCACAAUGGGGGAAACCCUGAUGCAGCGACGCCGCGUGGGCGAAGAAGUAUUUCGGUAUGUAAAGCUCUAUCAGCAGGGAAGAAGAAAUGACGGUACCGGAGUAAGAAGCACCGGCUAAAUAUGUGCCAGCAGCCGCGGUAGUACGUAGGGGGCAAUCGUUAUCCGGAUUUACUGGGUGUAAAGGGAGCGCAGGUGGCACGGCAAGCCUGAUGUGAAAGCCCGCGGCCCACCCGCGGGACUGCAUUGGGAACUGCCGGGCUGGAGUGCCGGAGAGGUAGGCGGAAUUCGUAGUGUAGCGGUGAAAUGCGUAGAUAUUAGGAGGAACACCAGUGGCGAAGGCAGCCUACUGGACGGUGACUGACGCUGAGGCUCGAAAGCGUGGGGAGCAAACAGGAUUAGAUACCCCGGUAGUC
rnacentral:rRNA from 1 species